GUUUACACAGUGCACAUAGAUUGCGACGUGUUCACUGGCACUAUGAAGAUCUAAAGAUAUUUAGAAGUACAGGUCAUCGCAGGUCAGAAAAUGUGAUUUUUUUUUGCCCAACUGUAUUUUUUUGAACCAGAAUACUCAAAGCAAGAAGUCAGAGAGAUGGAGGAAGCAGCCGCAGCAGCAGCAAGUCUUUAAGCUUCAGGGAGACAGAGAUCUCUUCAAAAGUGAUGGUGUUCUUGUAGUAAGUGUUAUGAGAUGCCAACAGAAGUGGAGAGCAUCUAUAAGUGCAGAUCGCUUCCGGUCAUGCAUAUACUACGCCAGAGCAUGCACACGUCACGCACCAGAUGUUGUGCAUUCGCUCAGGACAGUAGGACAUAGCGAUGAAUCAGUAGGGAGAGGCUUGGACAACUCUAUCCUCUGGCUUGGACAACUGUAUCCUCUCUUGUAGGGAGAGGCUUGGACAACUCUAUCCUCUGGCUUGGACAACUGUAUCCUCUCUUGGUGAGUCGGCUUUUUCUUUCUGCUCCAGGAACCUCUUAAACAAAACAACAAGCUCAGCUGCCCAUCUUUGCUUAACUUGGCGGUUGUGAGGUGGCAGAGGGGGUUAUUUGUCAGUGGUGAUGGUGAACUUUGACCCCAACAAAUAAAUUUUUCAGUCACCGCCCACUUCAUGGUCAAAAGCUAUUUUACUACUAUAAAUUCUUUAAGUUGCUCAAAGGCAGACUGACAAAGAGGAGACCAAGAGUGCUUAAACAGUUGUUCUACUCUGAUAGAACCAUUUCCUUGGAGACAGGCAUUAACUACUUCAUGCAGCGGACCAGCAAUUUGAGAGAAACCAUCAAUGAACCUUUGAUAAUAACUGCAGAAACCCAGGAAUGACCUGAGCUCCUUUAAGAUGCUAGGUAUUGGCCACU